AUUGAACGCUGGCGGUAUGCCUUACACAUGCAAGUCGAACGGUAACAGGUCUUCGGAUGCUGACGAGUGGCGAACGGGUGAGUAAUACAUCGGAACGUGCCCGAGAGUGGGGGAUAACGAGGCGAAAGCUUUGCUAAUACCGCAUACGAUCUCAGGAUGAAGGCAGGGGACCGCAAGGCCUUGCGCUCACGGAGCGGCCGAUGGCAGAUUAGGUAGUUGGUGGGAUAAAAGCUUACCAAGCCGACGAUCUGUAGCUGGUAUGAGAGGACGACCAGCCACACUGGGCCUGAGACACGGCCCGGACUCCUACGGGAGGCAGCAGUGGGGAAUUUUGGCCAAUGGGCGCAAGCCUGAUCCAGCCAUGCCGCGUGCAGGAUGAAGGCCUUCGGGUUGUAAACUGCUUUUGUACGGAACGAAAAGACUCUGGUUAAUACCUGGGGUCCAUGACGGUACCGUAAGAAUAAGCACCGGCUAACUACGUGCCAGCCGCCGCCGUAAUAC
rnacentral:rRNA from 1 species